CCUACGGGGGGCAGCAGUGGGGAAUAUUGCUCAAUGGGGGAAACCCUGAAGCAGCGACGCCGCGUGAGGGAUGAAGGUUUUCGGUAUGUAAACCCCUUUUUGCAGGGAAGAAAAUGACGGUACCUGACUAAUAAGCCCCGGCUAACUCCGUUCCAGCAGCCGCGGUAAUACGGAGGGGGCAAGCGUUAUUCGGAUUCACUGGGCGUAAAGGGGGCGUAGUCGGGAGAGCAAGUCAGAUGUGAAAGCCUGUGGCUUAACCCUGGAACUGCAUUUGAAACUGUGAGGCUGGAGUGUGGGAGAGGCAGGCGGAAUUCUUGGUGUAGCGGUAAAAUGCGUAGAGAUUAAGAGGAACACUAAUGGCGAAGGCGGCCUGCUGGACCAUAACUGACGCUGAGGCGCGAAAGCGUGGGGAGCAAACAGGAUUAGAUACCCCGGUAGUC
rnacentral:rRNA from 1 species